AGCUCAAUAGUUCAGUCGGAAGAGCAUGAGACUCCUAAUCUCGGGGUUGCAAGUUUGAGCCCUGUGUUGAGUAA